ACCGGCGCACGGGUGCGUAACGCGUAUGUAACCUACCUAUAACAGGGGCAUAACACUGAGAAAUUGGUACUAAUUCCCCAUAAUAUUCGGAGAGGCAUCUCUCCGGGUUGAAAACUCCGGUGGUUAUAGAUGGACAUGCAUUGUAUUAGCUAGUUGGUGAGGUAACGGCUCACCAAGGCAACGAUACAUAGGGGGACUGAGAGGUUAACCCCCCACACUGGUACUGAGACACGGACCAGACUCCUACGGGAGGCAGCAUG
rnacentral:rRNA from 1 species